GCUGGGCGUGGUGGCUCACGCCUGUAAUCCCAGCACUUUGGGAGGCCGAGGCGGGUGGAUCACCUGAGGUCAGGAGUUCCAGACCAGCCUGGCCAACAUGGUGAAACCCUGUCUCUA
rnacentral:SRP_RNA from 1 species